AUUGAACGCUGGCGGCAUGCCUUACACAUGCAAGUCGACCGGUAACGGGCCUUCGGGUGCCGACGAGUGGCGAACGGGUGAGUAAUACAUCGGAACGUGCCCGAUCGUGGGGGAUAACGAGGCGAAAGCUUUGCUAAUACCGCAUACGAUCUACGGAUGAAAGCAGGGGACCGCAAGGCCUUGCGCGGACGGAGCGGCCGAUGGCAGAUUAGGUAGUUGGUGGGAUAAAAGCUUACCAAGCCGACGAUCUGUAGCUGGUCUGAGAGGAUGAUCAGCCACACUGGGACUGAGACACGGCCCAGACUCCUACGGGAGGCAGCAGUGGGGAAUUUUGGACAAUGGGCGCAAGCCUGAUCCAGCCAUGCCGCGUGCAGGAUGAAGGCCUUCGGGUUGUAAACUGCUUUUGUACGGAACGAAAAGCCUUCUUUUAAUACAGGAGGGUCAUGACGGUACCGUAAGAAUAAGCACCGGCUAACUACGUG
rnacentral:rRNA from 1 species